UACAGAGGUCUCAAGCGUUUGUUCGGGAUUCAUUGGGCGUAAAGGGUGCGUAGGUGGCGCCAUAAGUCGGGUGUGAAUUCGGAGCUUAACUCCGAAACUGCAUUCGAUACUGUGGUGCUUGAGGACUGGAGAGGAGACUGGAAUUCAUGGUGAGCAGUGAAAUGCGUAGAGAUCAAUGAGGAAGACCAGUGGCGAAGGCGGGUCGUCGUGGACAA
rnacentral:rRNA from 1 species